AUUGAACGCUGGCGGCAUGCUUUACACAUGCAAGUCGAACGGCAGCACGGGUGCUUGCACCUGGUGGCGAGUGGCGAACGGGUGAGUAAUGCAUCGGAACGUAUCCAAUAAUGGGGGAUAACGCAUCGAAAGGUGUGCUAAUACCGCAUACGCCCUGAGGGGGAAAGUGGGGGAUCUUCGGACCUCACGUUAAUGGAGCGGCCGAUGCCUGAUUAGCUAGUUGGUGAGGUAAAGGCUCACCAAGGCGACGAUCAGUAGCUGGUCUGAGAGGACGACCAGCCACACUGGGACGGAGACACGGGCCAGACUCCUACGGGAGGCAGCAGUGGGGAAUGUUGGACAAUGGGGGCAACCCUGAUCCAGCCAUGCCGCGUGAGUGAAGAAGGCCUUCGGGUUGUAAAGCUCUUUCGCAAGGGAAGAAAAAGCAGGCUCUAACAUAGCCUGUUCAUGACGGUACCUUGAUAAGAAGCACCGGCUAACUACGUGCCAGCCGCCGCCGCGG
rnacentral:rRNA from 1 species